UGUGGGAGCGGGCUUGCUCGCGAUUCAGUCGACUCGGUACGUCUGACCCACCGAGGCGUGGCAAUCGCGAGCAAGCCCGCUCCCACA
rnacentral:antisense_RNA from 1 species